AGAGUUUGAUCAUGGCUCAGGAUGAACGCUAGCGGGAGGCUUAACACAUGCAAGUCGAGGGGCAGCACGAGGUAGCAAUACUUUGGUGGCGACCGGCGCACGGGUGAGUAACGCGUAUGUAACCUACCCUGUACAGGGGGAUAGCCCGGAGAAAUCCGGAUUAAUACCCCAUAAAGAUAUGAGGGGGCAUCUUCUUAUAUUUAAAGUUCCGACGGUACGGGAUGGGCAUGCGUAACAUUAGCUAGUUGGUAGGGUAACGGCCUACCAAGGCUGCGAUGUUUAGGGGUCCUGAGAGGGUGAUCCCCCACACUGGUACUGAGACACGGACCAGACUCCUACGGGAGGCAGCAGUGAGGAAUAUUGGUCAAUGGGCGCAAGCCUGAACCAGCCAUCCCGCGUGCAGGAAGAAGGCGCUAUGCGUUGUAAACUGCUUUUGCAGGGGAAGAAUGUUGGCUACGUGUAGUCAAUUGCCGGUACCUUGUGAAUAAGCAUCGGCUAACUCCGUGCCAGCAGCCGCGGUAAUACGGAGGAUGCGAGCGUUAUCCGGAUUUAUUGGGUUUAAAGGGUGCGUAGGCGGACUGGUAAGUCAGUGGUGAAAUACUGCAGCUUAACUGUAGAAUUGCCGUUGAUACUGUCAGUCUUGAGUAUGGUUAAGGUAGGCGGAAUGUGUAAUGUAGCGGUGAAAUGCUUAGAUAUUACACAGAACACCGAUUGCGAAGGCAGCUUACUGAACCAUAACUGACGCUGAGGCACGAAAGCGUGGGGAGCGAACAGGAAUAGAUACCCUGGUAGUCCACGCCGUAAACGAUGAUCACUCGCUGUUAGCGAUACACAGUUAGCGGCUAAGCAAAAGCAUUAAGUGAUCCACCUGGGGGAGUACGGCCGCAAGGCUGAAACUCAAAUGAAUUGACGG
rnacentral:rRNA from 1 species